rnacentral:rRNA from 1 species
CAAAAACAUCGCCUCUUGACAAUAUAUAAGAGGUCUAGCCUGCCCAGUGACUCUGUUCAACGGCCGCGGUAUCCUAACCGUGCGAAGGUAGCGUAAUCACUUGUUCUUUAAAUGAGGACUAGUAUGAAUGGCAUUACGAGGGUUAUACUGUCUCCUUUUCCUAAUCAGUGAAACUAAUCUCCUCGUGAAGAAGCAAGGAUAAACAUAUAAGACGAGAAGACCCUAUGGAGCUUUAAACUUCCAGCAAUUAUCUUUUUUACAUCAGCCUUAAGGUAAUCAAAUUAAUCUUAAUAUUAUGCCUGUUAGUUUUCGGUUGGGGUGACCGCGGAGUAAAAAUUACCCUCCGCAAUGAAUACUAAACGUUUAAGCAACAAACUACAAUUUUAUGCAUCAAAAAAUUGACACUAUUGACCCAACAUUUUGAUCAACGAACCAAGUUACCCUAGGGAUAACAGCGCAAUCCAUCUCAAGAGCUCAUAUCGACAGAUGGGUUUACGACCUCGAUGUUGGAUCAGGGUAUCCCAGUGGUGCAGCCGCUACAAAAGGUUCGUUUGUUCAACGAUUAAAACCCUACGUGAUCU